GACGAACGCUGGCGGCGUGCUUAACACAUGCAAGUCGAACGGAAAGGCCCUGCUUUUGUGGGGUGCUCGAGUGGCGAACGGGUGAGUAACACGUGCGUAACCUGCCCUUGACUUUGGGAUAACUUCAGGAAACUGGGGCUAAUACCUGAUAGGAGCUCCUGCUGCAUGGUGGGGGUUGGAAAGUUUCGGCGGUUUGGGAUGGACUCGCGGCUUAUCAGCUUGUUGGUGGGGUAGUGGCUUACCAAGGCUUUGACGGGUAGCCGGCCUGAGAGGGGGACCGGCGACAUUGCGACUGAGAUACGGCGCAGACGCCUAUGGGAGGCAGCAGUGGGGAAUAUUGCACAAUGGGCGGAAGCCUGAUGCAGCAACGCCGCGUGCGGGAUGACGGCCUUCGGGUUGUAAACCGCUUUCGACUGUGACGAAGCGUGAGUGACGGUAAUGGGUAAAGAAGCACCGGCUAACUACGUG
rnacentral:rRNA from 1 species